AUUGAACGCUGGCGGAAUGCCUUACACAUGCAAGUCGAACGGCAGCACGGGAGCAAUCCUGGUGGCGAGUGGCGAACGGGUGAGUAAUACAUCGGAACGUGCCCAAUCGUGGGGGAUAACGUAGCGAAGCUACGCUAAUACCGCAUACGAUCUACGGAUGAAAGCGGGGAGUCGCAAGACCUCGCGCGAAUGGAGCGGCCGAUGGCAGAUUAGGUAGGGUGGGGUAAAGGCUCACCAAGCCUUCGAUCUGUAGCUGGUCUGAGAGGACGGACCAGCCACAC
rnacentral:rRNA from 1 species